rnacentral:rRNA from 1 species
CAAUAAUGUAAUAAUUCAUCAGUCCGUCUGCUUCGAUAUUGUCCCAGUCUUCUUUCUCUGUAUCCAUUUAUCUUUUUCAUUCCAAGCUUCGCUUACCGUCAUGCAACAUCAGCAGAAAUAUUUGCCGUUUGCUA